rnacentral:rRNA from 1 species
CGCGUAGGCGGCCUCUCUUGUCGCGUGUGAAAGCCCCGGGCUCAACCUGGGAACGGCGCGCGAGACGGGGGGGCUGGAGUUCGGGAGAGGAGCGUGGAAUUCCCAGUGUAGAGGUGAAAUUCGUAGAUAUUGGGAAGAACACCGGUGGCGAAGGCGGCGCUCUGGACCGAGACUGACGCUGAGGCGCGAAAGCGUGGGGAGCAAACA